rnacentral:misc_RNA from 1 species
GAAAGAACUUGCACAAAGUUAACAAUUUACCUUUGAAGGAUUGAAGCUUGCAGCAGCAAUAGGUACUCCCAAAACUGCGAAAGUGACUAACCAAAGUCCCCCGAGACGUAGGAAGAAGGCCCCUGGACCCAGUUCUGCCCAAGAGUAUAAAGUUUCAUCUUUCAGAGAUGAGUACUCAUUCACCGGCCUUUGUUCAAAUGGCACCUCAAUUUCCAAGCCUGGGUCCCAACUACGACCACCUAAUCCACUGCCAUUCGUGCCACCGUUCAUCCCAUCUUUCAGGGCUUUAACUCGAAUGUUCCUCCGACAUACAAUCGUUGCUUUGUUCGAUAAAAUGAUCCACGAGCGGCAGCUUUUGUUGACUUCUAUCGGACUAGAAACUAUGGAGCCAUAUAAAU